GAGGACAUGUCCUCUGCACUCCAGGGCAUUGUUUCCUGUUUAUUAUUCUUCCUGUGAUAUUGCCAUGUUGAUCUUAUUGCCCCGGUACCCUGAGGAACAAAACUCAUCAGUUGGACGUCUUAAUUGGAUACACUUUUCAAAUUUAGCUCCCGCAUGGUGUUGGCUCACACCCAGGAUCAUUAUUAUAUUUGCCGAGUGUGUGGACGAACUGUGAACUCGCACCGUGGCCUCGGCUCCGUGAUCACUGAGUGAAGUGGACCACGCUCCCUUUCCCCGUGAAGGGGGAGCUAUUGGAGCCCUGCGUUCUUUUCUAUAAAGAGAAAUCUGGUUCCUAUUUAUACACAACAAGAACAGUAAUGUCCUCCCUCAUUACGCCGUUACUUGUCCCUUCUAGCGAGGCUAUCAUUAACUAUAAGAAGAGGACGUGGUCGUCGUGACAACCCCCAUUGGUAUGCGGCCUGUGGUUCUCAAACCUUGAGUUCAGCAUUUUGUCCCGUCUUUGUUGCCAUUUUGUUUGUUCACACGAUUACAGUAGUCCUGCCUCAGGGCAUACACUGCUUUGUGGUCGAUUUGACUCGAUUUGACUCUUAAUGCUAAAUUAUCAUCAUGCUGUGUUGAAGAAGACUGGAAACUAGAGAGUGAGACCAUGAACUCAUGUGUACAAGGAUUGCUGAGGAAAUAAAUCAAGUAGUCAUUCACUCAGGACAUUUUUUAAGGAACCCUAAACCCUGAUGAACCCUGGUUCAUGAGGGGGCCCCGGGAUCUCAGCUCGCCCCUUUUCUUUUGCUCAGGCCCAGCGGGCCCACGUCUUUUACUCUCACACAUGUCAUCAGUAGGGUGCUCUCCAGCAGAGGCGCAAAGGAGACUUCUUGAACCCCAGCUCCGUGUCCUGAGCUCGAGGACUGGUGAACCCAGCCAGCGGGCUGACAGGUAGCCCACAGCAACAGAUGCGUGUGUACAGUAAUUGCUCUGUGUAUUGGCAACCCCAGAGAUUGCUCCGCCGUCGCUCAUCUACCGCUAAAGCCCGGCUAUUCAUACUAAACUGAGCCACUUUCCUCAGAAACAGCAUGCCAGUUGGCUUGAGGUACAGCUUUGCCUCAGUCGAGCGAGAAUGGUACCUCAGACACAUUCAACAUCUGGCUGCAUUUUAGUAAUCGCUCGCUUUUAAAAGAGGAGAAAAGUUCUAAGCAGCAGUCUACAAAAAAAAAAGAAAAACGGAAACCACCGCUGCAAUACGCUGACAACUCAGACAGGGUGGGAUUAAUAUGUGGACUCCAUGAAGUGUGACUGCGAGUUCAACAGAGUAGCGACUUCUCAUAAAGGCACCGGAGGACCUGUGGAAGACGGAGGCUCCUCGAUUGAGAAUUAUGAAUAAGAUGCACCAACUUUACAUUGAAUGGUUACCACAAUGUAGAGCAUCCCGUUGGCUUCUCCCUACCAGGUCACUUACCUUUAUGCACACACCAGACGUUCUUCAGUGUAAAACAGACAGGAGCGUAUUUCAGUUUCUAUUUUUUGGAAGCCUUGUUGGAUUUGAUUGGUGGACACAUGACGCAUAGCAGGGGAGUUUAACAGAGUUAUGAUUGGCCUCUUUGAUUUAGCAGACAGAAACCUCUCACAGUGCUAUCAGACAGACAAUUUUUAUAAUGAAUCACGAAGCAUUGAGGCGCUGUGGGCCACAUGGGGAGAAGCUGUGACUCCAUAAGGUUAGUCCCAUCCCAGGGUUUCUUCCUGAGCCAUUUCGACUUAUUUCUCAACAGUACAUAACGUUAAUAAAAAAAAAUCAAGCAAUGCUUGGCAGUCUAACAAAACCAACCACAUGUUGGGACAAUGAACACAGCUUUAGCCACAGCUCCACAGUAUUCAACGUAAUCCAAAUGACUUUCAUUUAGCCACGUUCCAUAAAACUAUGCAUCAACAUUAUUUUAAAGUGUCCUCUUCAAGUAACCGGAAAAAAAUGAUAACAGAGGAAGAAGAAAUGUAAUUUGCUUGUUUGUUGUCGUGUUGUAUCAUCUGCAAAUGGCUGAUGCUCCUGGCUGCAACGGGAAACAUGAGUUCUAUUGGAGUACAAGGCGGGGCUUCUUAAGCCAACUCAGGAUUCAAAGUACAGCUCUUGUGCCUUUCAUCAGGUUAACUGAUAACUGUUGCUCGACAUUGAAAUGGCAGAUGCUCACAAGGUACAUUUGUUUGCCUUAUUUGACCCUUAUUGCUUCCAUCAGCGCCGCUGGCUCUGGCUUUCCCUCCCGAGUAUCGACACUGCGGCAUAAACCGCGGUGCGUCUGGCCUCGCUCAGCGGGCCGCGCAUCGCCUCAAAUGUCCCCGCUCACCGUCGCAGCGGGCUGUCACAGGACAACACAUGACAAUAGUGGAGUGACACACGUUUUAUAUCUGCCUGGCCUCCGCUCUGAUAACCAGCGGCGGGGAUUUGGAGGAGAGGCUGCACACUUUUCUCUCGUUAGCUCUUUGUCGAGGUGUCAUGGAUCUCCUCCAGGUAGACAGGGUGCUGGUGGAGCAUAUGUGGGGGAGGCAGACGGUGUUGACAGUGACCCAUUUCCCAGCAUGCUCUCCGGUGGAGGGUGACAGACCUGCACUCAGCUGGAAGAGUGAAUAAUGAUCCCGUGCUGACAGAGAGUGGUGACUGGCACAUGCCGAGACAAACACAGAGGCUAUUUUUCAGCUAUUACAUCCUGAAUGAAUCCAGAGUGGGUUUCAUUGGUUUUCUAUUGACAGAAAGCGUCGUUUGAGAGAUUUACAGGUCAAAAAGGCCCUCGAGACAUCUCGAAAUGGAGGCUCUAGUUCUAGAUGUCAAAACAAAAAGUGUCAGCAAAUUGUCCACUUAUGGGAUAUUUCCUGCAACUACCAUCUUUCAUCAGUGGUUGAACUUUGCUAAGUUGUCCAAAAUUUUUUUUAUCAAUACUGAACCUCAAAGCACAAGUUUUGUUGUAUCUUGAUAUCUAUGUGAAAUUAAUUAUCACCAUGUGUACUCUUUCCACCGGAAUCUAAUAGAUUAGAUUAGUUCAGUGUUGUAUGGAUCCCCAAUAGCCAACGCCAUGCCUGCAGAUUUAACAAAAAUGAUAUUAUGUACGAAGAUAUAUCAUCAAAUCAUUCAUCUAUGAUAGGUCCAAGAGGGAAAAAUUACCUAUUUUAUUAAGACUUAGAACCUACUGUAACUAAUGAAGGAUUAAAUCGUGUGCUAACAAAAACAUUGGUACUUUAACUUAGUUUGACCCAAAUGUAAGGGUCCGGCUAUGUUUAAACCUAAAAAGUCUAUUUACUGGGGUUUUGAAGUUCAGAUAGAUAUGUUUACUGGUAUUAUAUGAGGAAGGUCAUUCAACCAAAGGCAGGUUAAGAGCAGGUCGUAUGUUAGCAUGUGAGGCCUAUUCUCAUGAACCUGGUGUCUCAGUAAAGUCAGCAAUGAAUGUCAUCCCGUCUGGCACUGGGACCCAAAGCAGAAUUUAAUUUUGGUGCUCAGAGGUCACUGUGGCAUUGAUGAACCAUCUUUCUUGCCCAAAUCCAUGAAUUCACAUGGGUGUUGGCAUAAAUGCUGCUUAUUAGGACAAAAUCAUGAAUGAUGACAUUGACAAUUGGCCAUUACCACCAGCUGCUGAUUCCAGCAUGACCUGAUUUAUAGAAUUAAAACAGGCAUCUGUUUAAAAGAGGGAGCUUGUAUUGGUUCAAACCACACACAGGUUUCUCCUAGAACAUUGAAAUGACUGCAGCUUCCAUUUGUGUCUGCUUGUAACACAAGUGAAGAUGCAAAUGGUUCCUGGUUUAUUUUGCAGUUGUCACUGAAGCGCAGCGGUACUUCGACCACAAUGUCUCUGAUAAGAAAGUGACCUCCACAGUGGCUUUGGUAUCGUUGGCCUUCUGUUGUGUGCUCGCCUGUCAGUAGUUGGCGACAGGUGUGACGGUCCGUCCGCUGCAGAGGCCAGAUGAGGAGCCAGGCUCUGGACUGCCGGGGCACCUCAUUAGCCUCCCCCUGCAGUCCUCCGCUGAGACAGGCACAGAGCCACUGGCCCUCUGCAAGGACAAACGCAGAGAGCUCGGUGGAAAGCGGCGGGAGAUGGAGAAAGGGAAAAGGAGACGGGAGAAGUGAACACACCUUUAAGAGAACCUUCUGCAGCGUGAACAUUUGCAGGACCUCACGCCUGCAGCUACUUGAUUCUGGUUUGAACAAAAGACACUGGGAAAGGUCACUUUGUGCAGUUGGUUUUGUUUGUUUAGGCCUUAAAUGUCCACAAACAAGUAAACCGCAGCCUACAAAUAAAACCUCCACGUGCCUGGAAUGCCUCCAUGUGACGGACAUGUGCUGAAGAGGCCUGCUUUGCCCGGCUGUAAUCUUUCCGUCCACUCUGUAAUAGUUAUGAACACUGUCCCGCGUCCUUCAACAUGAGUAGGUGCCGCCCAUUAUGUGACCUGUUACGUUUGGGAAUCUGUUUUUCUCCAGACAAAUAUCUCUAAGGCAAUGACGAUUAUGUUUGUAUUGCUCCAAAAAAAGGAAUAUAUGUUUUUUAUUGGUAUUUGAUCCAAGACACUACGUCCACACAGGCAAGAUGAAAUGGAUUUUAAAACAGGUGCUCAACAUAAUGGACCUCAUGAGGAUUUCUCUUAAAAUACAAAUGUAGUCAUUAACAGAUUACUUUAUCGACUAUUCUAAAGAUUAUUUUAGAUUAUGUAUUUUUUGUAGCUCUUAACUACUUAAAAUUUCAAUAUUUCACUAAAGCACCUCUUAAAAACAAACAAAUCUAACAAGAUAAUAGACCCUUUAUAUAUCUUAUAUCUGGUCCAUGUGACAUUGGGACUUUGCCUAAGAGACAUCUGUCAAUAGAUUUAGAAAAGGGCAACGUUGAAGUGAACAUCUAAAAUCAUUGUGUAGGUAGGUGGUAAAAACUUCCCUCACCAGAGGGACAAUUACAAUGGCUCACUGAUCCCUUGGAACAGCGAGAUGUGAAUCCUCAUCCUGCAUAAUCCGAGGCUCCUAUCCCUCGCACUCCUCACUUACUCACUCACACACACACACACACACACACACACACACACCUCACCGUCUCUGUUUCAGCUCUGGUUCAAUCCUCCGUCUCUUGUCCAAUCGUCUUCCCUCUGUGCUCAGUCUCUCGUUCCACACUUAACCUUCCGUGUCCUUUGCAUUUCUUCACACGUGGAGUCAAUGAAUAGAUCUGGGACUUAAUUACAUUAAGAAAAGCUACGAGGUGCACAGAACUGUGUGUUCAGACUAUUAAAAUAAAUCGGUCGUGCUGAAGUUCACGGUACGUUCCACUUUCAUGUCGGUGCUGGGACCUGAAUUAUUUGUAGUUAACAUUUAUUGUACCAGGUGAUGCUUUCAUGAGUUACACAGAAUUUAUUUGGCUCUUGAACUCAAUGAGGGGAUUUGGGAUUGCGCUGUGUUUUCCCUGAGCAGCAGCCAUGUAUACAUACAUAUAAAAGGAGUACAGACACUGGUGGUGGCGGCGGCUGGAGGUUCUGCCAGAGUUGUUGGAUGUUGAAUUUGAGAAGGCGGAUGGUGCUGGGGAGACGGAGGGUCCCAUGAGACGAUAGAGGCGGGGCUAAAACCCUUUUAAAGGAGACAGCAACAGCUGAUAGGCUAGCGAAGGGGGUUUGACUCUGCGCUCAUUUUGCUGGUGGCGCCCAACUGAUGAACAGCAGAGAAUCGUCCUCAGCGGGACGGAGAGCCGGUGUCACCGUGGCAGCGGGUUUAUUGUUUUUUUCUUCUUCUUCUUCUUCUUCUUCUUCUCCGCUAUGCGCCUGCUCCCGUUCGAACAACUUUUCCUCGUCGACGUGGCUCGGGGGUAGAGCGGGUGCACUGGGAACCACAAGGGUGGCGGUUUGAGCCCCGGUUGCUCCAUGCCCCAUGUCGAAGUCCCUGUGCAAGACACUCAACCCCUAAUUGCACCCCGGGCGAAAAAGCCAUGGGUUAAAAAUAGUUAUAUAGAUAAAAGCGUCAGCUAAAUCCCCUGUAAUGUGUAAUAAUGUAAUGUCACAACUCCCCCCCCAGUCUGCAAUGCCAGCCCCAAAGAGGUUGUGUAAUAUCACAGCAACAACUGCAGGGAUCCCCACUGAGUUGUCAUGUGAGUCCACGCUCUCUCUCACACAGUUGGGGAGGGAUAUUAUUGUCUGUGAUGUUUCAGGGGGAUACUUGCACUGCACUGUUCUUGACCUCGUCCAUUGAUCUAGAUUUUAAUGAGCAUCCAAUGUACAGAGCCAGACAGCGUCCUGUUCACCACAAGAGGAGCAAUUCUUGAUCCCGUGUGUCCUUAUCCGGCAGUUUGUUCUCUCGCAUAAAAGUUGCCCCCCUUCAUCCCCCCCAUCCCUUCUCGGAGAGGUUAGUGUUAGCGCUGUUCUUAGAUGCCACUUUUGUUAUCGGGGAUGAACGCUGCCCUACAACGGCACAAAAAGAGCAGCCAUGGCCUGUGCUGUGAAGGUUAAAGGUCAUGAAGCAGACUUUAUAUCACAAAUUGUAGUGUACCAUCACAUGCUUAUGGUGUGUAGACAAAUCUUUGAAUUGUAGCUUUUCAGUGAUUUUAGAGACGUAUUUUCAUUUAUAUUUAUUUAUUCAUAAAUCCUUUUUAUAAUAUCUCAAAACCAAUCCAUGCCAUCUAUGUGAAUGCAUACUGAAGGCAGUUUGGUUUUAUCUUUAUAGCUUUGGACAUUUGGACAUAUUUCUUUCAGUCAUAACAUUCCUGACAUCUUGGAACACAGUGAGUGUUACAACAUCUGUGUCCGCCACUAGCAAGAAAUAGGAGAGGCCACGUUACACGACAAUCUAGCCACCCAAUCGUUUGUAGAUGAAUUCACUGUCCUCUGUGGCCAACAUAGAUCAUGAUAUUAACACCAACAAUGAAUAUCCAUAUCGAUGUGGAUGGGUGGAUGAAGCUUGCCAUUUCCAAUCCAGGUGAUCAAAGGUCAAUCUAGUGGAGGAUAUCGCAUUAAACCAAAGACUAUUGCAUGCAUUUUUAAUAUUAAUUAAGCAGCGACCCAUUUUCCUUGACAAACAGCAUUACAUCACUUUGUCCUUGCAGGCUCUGAUAGCACUGGAUGGAAACAUAAAGAGCAUAAGCCUAAGAAAGAUAUUUUAGCCUGUGCAAUCAGAGCAUUUCAAGUCAUUAAUCAAAUUGGUGCUCUCCAAAACUCCUUCCAUUGCCCUUCUUUGUGAAUCGCCCCUUAUAAAUGAAGUAUAAUUAAUUGAACAUUCUCCCAGCGUGUCCCGGUGUCGGCUCUGAUUCCGUACCAUGGAAGCCUCCCGAAGCGAACUUCCUAUCUGACUUCCUCCUCUACAGCAAUGCCUCCGAGAUAAUUGCUGUGAUGAUGUCAUUUCAAUUACUCCCUAAUUCCUCUCCGUUUGCAAUCAAUUUUGUAGUGUGACUAAGAACAGACUAAUGGUUAGAACAUCUCUGCCUCCCACCCGCGGAGUGCGUCGGGGAAGAGGAGCCGCGGGUGGAGGCAAAGACAGAAAAGGCAAGCAAGAUAGAGACGGAGCUCCAGCAUCUUCGUGCUCCUCUCUGCCGUGCUGCUGUGGAUGUGCUCGUUUGCCAGAGGAGUGGGAGGAGUGAUGCAGGAAGCACAUCGCUGAAAGAUGAGAAGUACCCCGACGCCAUCACCUCUGACAGGCGGCGGAAGCACUGCUUCGCACGAGCUUCAUCAGAGCUCCAACCCCAGGUCAUAGCGAGGUCGUACCUCCUCGCACUGGAUUUGAAUUAAUAGCUGAACGAGUUCAUUAUAAAAUGGCAACUGUCCCGUUUACUCUUUUCUCUCGACUCAUUUUUCAAAGAGCCUUACAAAUGGUUGUAAAGCAGCACAUUCAUUUAUUUUUUUCUGGACACAAAAGGCAUCACAAGUGAUAAUUGACUUUGCUUGUCCCUCAAUAAAAAGACCCCUGCUUUAGAGACAACUCGGUCAAGAAAGGUUCAGUGGGACUGCUUUUUCUUUGAUUAUCAUUUUGAUUCAAUCAACAUAAUAAAUCGCUUGUAUACAUUGUGUUUUAAUGCCAUCCAGAAAGUAUACUUGUUCUGUUAUUUAAAGCCAUUUCAAAGAAUUCAACACAUGCGUAGUAGUAAAGUGUGGAAGGACGAGCACAGCUCACUAUGGUCGGCUGCACUCGUGCAGAUCAAUAAUCACCAAAGGCCGUCGGCAUUCAUCCAGAGCAUGAUACGUAGAUGACCUUGGCUGAUCACGCCUCUACCUUCUGCACACACACACCACUCACUGCUUGCUCUACACCCUAACACUGCCUCAGGCUGUUGUGAAUGUAAAGUGUAUUAAUCAGUCCACCAGCAGUGUAAUUAUCUGCUGUCAUCCAGAGCACCAACCCCACGCUGCGAACUGCUGAACCUCUUUCUUUAUCCACGUUUUCAAGAUAAAUGACAGAUAAAUGCAAUGAUGAGUCCAACUGUCCACAGUAUGUAUAGGGUUGAGCUUCAUCACACUAUAAAGUGUUACUGCAUUGAAAAUGUGUUCUACAAACAGUCCCUCACACACAUGCACACACACGCGCACACACCGUAUGGAAGGGUUGUUAUCUGGACAGAGAAUACAUUUCAGUCCUUUGUAGCUGUUCCAAUGUGCGCCCCUGUUUCUCUGCCAAAGACAGAUUGAGCUUCAACUAUUUCAUACAUUAUUAAUAAAUCUUACUAUGAAAAAUGGAAAAGUGCUUUUGCAAAAACAUACUCGAGACAAACACUU
ensembl:lncRNA